rnacentral:rRNA from 2 species
CCAUCGCGACCCCAGGUACAGGCGGACUACCCGCUGAGUUUAAGCAU